rnacentral:rRNA from 1 species
GACGAACGCUGGCGGCGUGCUUAACACAUGCAAGUCGAGCGGUAAGGCCCUUUCGGGGGUACGACGAGCGGCGAACGGGUGAGUAACACGUGGGUGACCUGCCCUCCAGCUCUGGGAGUAAGCCUGGGAAACCGGGGUCGUGAUACUGGAUAUGACUCCAUGACGCAUGUUGUGGGGUGGAAAGCCUUGUGCGGCUGAGGAUGGGCCCGCGGCCUAUCAGCUUGUUGGUGGGGUGAUGGCCUACCAAGGCGACGACGGGUAGCCGGCCUGAGAGGGCGACCGGCCACACUGGGACUGAGACACGGCCCAGACUCCUACGGGAGGCAGCAGUGGGGGAAUCUUGCGCAAUGGGCGAAAGCCUGACGCAGCGACGCCGCGUGAGGGAUGACGG